rnacentral:misc_RNA from 1 species
GUGAAUCAUCAAAUUUUUGAACGCAAAUUGCACUCUCUGGGAUUCCGGAGAGUAUGCCUGUUUGAGGGUCAGUUUAAAUAAAAUUCGUGGUGGUUGCUGCCUUUCGUGGUGACGCACCGGGUUUUGGUCGUCUUGCCUUCGUUUAAGUGACCUAAAAUUUUGCAUGUGGUUUUCUGACGUAUUUUAAUGUUUUUACGUAUAUUUGCUUUA